AUACUUACCUGGCAGGGGAGAUACCAUGAUCAUGGAGGUGUUUUUCCCAGGGUGAGGCUCACCCAUUGCACCCUGGGUGUACUGACCCCUAUGAUUUCCCCCAGAUGUGGGAAACUCACUGCAUAAUUUGUGGUAGUGGGGGGGCUGCAUUUGUACUCUCUCCUG